CCUUCUACCAGCCUUGUCCAGUCUGGGGCCCUCCAGAUGCUUUGAACUACAACUCCCAUCAACCCUGUCCACCUUGCCCAGUGAUCAAGGAUGGUAAGAGUUGAAGUUCAAAGUAUCUGGAGGGUUCCGGACUGGAAAAGGUUGGUAGAAGG